rnacentral:rRNA from 1 species
GAUGAACGCUAGCGGGAGGCCUAACACAUGCAAGCCGAGCGGUAUUGUUUCUUCGGAAAUGAGAGAGCGGCGUACGGGUGCGUAACACGUGUGCAACCUGCCUUUAUCUGGGGGAUAGCCUUUCGAAAGGAAGAUUAAUACUCCAUAAUAUAUUGAACGGCAUCGUUUAAUAUUGAAAGCUCCGGCGGAUAGAGAUGGGCACGCGCAAGAUUAGCUAGUUGGUGAGGUAACGGCUCACCAAGGCGAUGAUCUUUAGGGGGCCUGAGAGGGUGAUCCCCCACACUGGUACUGAGACACGGACCAGACUCCUACGGGAGGCAGCAGUGAGGAAUAUUGGUCAAUGGGUGCAAGCCUGAACCAGCCAUCCCGCGUGAAGGACGACUGCCCUAUGGGUUGCAAACUUCUUUUGUAUAGGGAUAAACCUACCCUCGUGAGGGUAGCUGAAGGUACUAUACGAAUAAGCACCGGCUAACUCCGUG